rnacentral:rRNA from 1 species
GACGAACGCUGGCGGCGUGCCUAAUACAUGCAAGUCGAGCGGAAUGAUGAAGAAGCUUGCUUCUUCUGAUUUUAGCGGCGGACGGGUGAGUAACACGUGGGCAACCUACCUUGUAGAUUGGGAUAACUCCGGGAAACCGGGGCUAAUACCGAAUAAUCCAUUUUGCUUCAUGGCGAGAUGUUGAAAGACGGUUUCGGCUGUCACUACAAGAUGGGCCCGCGGCGCAUUAGCUAGUUGGUAGGGUAAUGGCCUACCAAGGCGACGAUGGGUAGCCGGCCUGAGAGGGCGAUCGGCCUCACUGGGACUGAGACACGGCCCAGACUCCUACGGGAGGCAGCAGUAGGGAAUCUUCCACAAUGGACGAAAGUCUGAUGGAGCAACGCCGCGUGAGUGAAGAAGGUUUUCGGAUCGUAAAACUCUGUUGUAAGGGAAGAACACGUACGAGAGUAACUGCUCGUACCUUGACGGUACCUUAUUAGAAAGCCACGGCUAACUACGUG